UAGAAUUAUUUUUAUUGGCUUGUUUACAUGAUGUUGGGCGCGCCCACUUCCGUCACACAAUGAACCGGCGC